GGCCCAAAUGUGAAGAAGAGUAGAUAAGAAGGAUCAUCUGACCCUACUAAACUACUCUACUUCGAAUGUGCCC
rfam:Haemonchus placei strain MHpl1 genome assembly, scaffold: HPLM_scaffold0002701